AGAUUUUGUAACAUAUGUGUGUCAGGUCGCUGCUCAAACACACGCUCGGGCUUAUUUUCACAUCUAACUCGGGCCGUUUCGGUAAUAAAUGUGGGGUUCUGACCAUAGAGCUUCAUCCAUUCUGGACGUCGCCGUGCUCUGGCCACAUAUUCCCAUCUGGAUAUUUAAGGGUAGGCUAUUCUCCCUCUAUUCAUCCAGCGUCCUGCGGUCUCCCUGCAGCGGUGCGAGCGAGCGUGAGCCCUCUGCGCAUGCGCGCUCCGCCCAACACGCCAACAACCCCAAACUGGCAGAAAUUGGGACUGUGCAGGAAAUAUGAUCCGAUGACAUUUUAUAAGAUUGAUUUCAUCAUUUUAUAACGGACAGUCUUUAUAAUAUUCUAUCUAUCUAUCUAUCUAUCUAUCUAUCUAUCUAUCUAUCUAUCUAUCUAUCUAUCUGAUUGACCAUUAGUUCCCCAAUGUACUGAACUCAAAAAUAUUUAUUCAGUUAUUAUAAGCAGAUAAAAUAAGUACAAUAGAUAAAUUGUAAACAGUUUUCUUAGUCACCUUUAAUUCUUGCUGUAUAUACAUGAAAACAUACAUAAAUGUAUGCUUUUUUAUCCUGAAAAUUAAUUUCUUCAUUAUAUAUUAUUAACCGAUAUAAUAAUAUAAUUACAGUUUUCUCAGUCACUUUGGUGCAUUUCUCAGAUCAGAAAUUAAAUUCUCAAAAUUACUUUCUCAACCUCCACAUCAUUGACAGACAGACAGACAGACAGACAGACAGACAGAUAGAUAGAUAGAGACAGAGAGACAGACAGAUAGAGACAGACAGAUAGAUAGAUAGAUAGAGACAGAGAGACAGACAGAUAGAGACAGACAGAUAGAUAGAUAGAUAGAGACAGAGAGACAGACAGAUAGAGACAGACAGAUAGAUAGAUAGAUAGAGACAGAGAGACAGACAGAUAGAGACAGACAGAUAUAUAGAUCCUGAAACACAAGGCUAUACGGCUGGAUAAUGUCAGGGCCGUUGUGGUUGAUGAGGUAUUGAUUGAUUGUUAUUCAUUUAUUAUUGUUUAUUAAUUUACUGUAUUUUGUGUAAUGUCUAUUUAUUUAUUGUUUUAUUUAUAGUAGUUUAUGUUUGUAUUAAUUUAUUUAUUUAUGUUUUAUUUAUUUACUGUAUUUUAUGUACGAUUUGAUUAUUUAUGUUACAGUAUAUUAAUUUUUGUUUUGUUUUAUUUAUUUAUUUAUAUUUUAUGUAUGUAUUUUUUUAAUUUGUUUCAGUUACUAUAUUUUAUACAUUGUUUUAUUAAUUUACAUGUAUAAAUGAAUUUUUGUUUUAUGUAUUUAUUAUGUUUUAUCUAUUUGUUGUUUAUUGUUUUUAUUUAUCGUUUUAUUUACAUGUUUAUUGAUUAAUACAUUUAUUUAUGUAUCAUUCUUUUAUGUUUUAUUGAUUAUUUAAACAUAUUUUAAUCAGUGUUAUUAUGAAUAGCAUUCUCAAAAACGGCAAAGGUGGAUACCACGCCGAAGAUGAGAUUCCAGCAACAGGUUCUUGAGGUUUUGGAGCAGGUCCCGCUGUUGACGUCUGUUGGAUUGAAAGCUUCUGUCGAUUAGCUUGUUGACAGAAAUGCAGUUAUAGUGGAAGUCUAUGGGGCAGUCUUUGCCCUCCUCUCCAGAGGAAAUGGGUUGGUCCUCAAAUGGCUUUGCUCCAGGAAAACUAUCAACGGCUCAGGAAAUGGAGAAUUUAUUCAAGAUUCAAGAUUUUUAUUUGUCACACACAUGGUUAUAUGGAGAGCAUAUGACCAGCGGUGAAAUGUAAGUAAAUAUAAAUGAUAACUCACAGCCCAUGGAAAUAAAAUGACUGCCCCCAGGAAAUUGUCAAUCAAAACAAAUAAAUAUUGUAUAUGUUAAUGUAUAAUAAUACUAUAAUAUAUAUUUAACAUUUUAGAACAAUUGUCCACCAAAAAUAUUAAAGAACUAAUAAAUAUGAGAGUCUUUAUUUAAUAUCAUAUCUUAUAUUUUAGAAAACAAUUGUCCAUCAGAAAUAUGAAAUAACAAAAAUGGUAAAUAUGUAUUCAGGAAUACGAAAUAGAUAAAAGUAAAUAAGUAAACACAAUUCUUUAUUAAUAAUAUAUUUAUUAAUGUAGAAUAAUUAUCCAUUCAUAUUAAAUAUCAAUUGCUAAAUACGUUCAUAUUUAGAAAUAUGAAAAAAAAUAUAAAAAAAAAAUAUAUAUAUAUUAUUAUUUUAUCUUGAACUGAAGUGUCCAUAAAAAUAUAUUAACAGUUGAUAAAUAUGAGUUCAUAAAUAUUAAAGAAAUAAUAAAACAUUAUUUUACGUUACAAAGUGUUUAUAAAUAUUAUAUUUUAGAAUCAGUGUUCAUCAGAAAUUCAUAAAUGUGAAAUUAAAUGAAUAAAUAAAUAUACAAAUAUUGUGAAUUAAAAAUAUAAUUGAAUAUGAAUGCCACAUAUUUGUGGGUUUGUUUUCAUUAGGAUAUUAUGUAAAUUGUGAUUUGUUCGUGUGUGUGUGUGUGUGUGUGUGUGUGUGUGUUUACAGGACAGAAAGCUGCAGUGGGAACGCAACAAAAAAGGCAAUGGAAAAAAAAUAUAUAAAAAAUUAUAACAUAUUUUAUUCUUUUCUAUUCAGUUAUAUUUAAUAUAUUACAUCUGUCUGUAUUUUGUUUUACAUUGAAUAUUUUUUCAUUAUUGUGCAUUAAAAUGAAGAUUAACAAUGAAUAAAUCGUGUAACUCUAGUAGACAGCGUCAUCUGUUGGUAGUUGAGCGUUACUACACGCCUUUGCGUCAAACACACAACUGCAGCAGCAAGACAGAGGCCCCCACAGAUGAGCACAGACACCAUGAGGUGAGAGGGUUCAGACUGACAUGACAUCCGCCUCACGUUCAGCACAGGUGAGGAGACCCACAGCUCAUGUGAGCAGAACAAGUGCUCAACGACCUCAAGAGAUGAAGAUGGAGAACAGUGUUGCUCACUCUCGCAGUUCAAGCUAGACUCUUCCCUUUAAGACAGAGUUUGUGGAGGAAGAGGAGGACGAUCACUGCAUCACCAGCCGGAUAAACCUGGAGGAUUUGGGACUGUACUUCAGCCCAGACCAGUGGAGACCGGCUCAGGGUUACUGAAGGAAAGCCUCCAAGAUGGCCAUGAUUACCACACUGAGGACACCAACGCCAAACUGAUCCGAGAGCUGAAAGCAGAGGUGGAGAAGCUCUGUGUUGCUCAGAUGAGCUCUCAGGGCAUCAAACCCAAGAAAAUGAGACGGUUUCAGCAAGAGAUCGCCUCUCUUUAGACUAAACUCUCUCAACUGGAGUAUGAAAUGGCCGAGGCUCACAGAACUUAGAAAGAAAGACUGGAAGAGGCAGAGAGGAGGAAGCGUGAAGAAACCAAAGAGCUGCAGACUUGAAGAAGAGAUUGAGGCGGCUCGGUUGAAGGCCAAAGAGGAGAUGAUGCGGGGCAUUCAGGUGGCAAAAGAAAUGGCACAGAAAACGCUGAGCGAACAGAAGAGUCAGUACGAGGAGAGGAUUGGCCGAUCAUGAUAUCCGUCAUGCUAAGAUUGUAGAGGCGCUUGAAGCGGAGAAGAGGAAGAUUGCAGAAGAUCUUGCUCAGGUCGAGAGAAAACGUACUCUUAAAAUGACCCAGACCCCUAAAACGGGAACAUGCACACUUUAAAUUGAAAAGACAUGGGGGUUUUCCAUCAGGGAUGUUCACAAAAGUGUGUUUUUCACCAUAUUUUUGUUCAAUGUUUGCAACAUAGCCACAGUGGGAUGCCUUGAAGCUGUCUUUGAUUAUAUAUUAUUAGCACUGAUUAUCACUUAACUAAGUUCAAGUUCACGUGUGCAUUUGGUCUCUUUGUACGUAUAUAAGUUGUAAUAUUAUACUGAAUAUAUGAUGCUUCUCCCUGUGUUGAAGGAAACAAGAUGCAUUAAGAGCUGGGGGUGAAAACUUUUGGAAUUUGAAGAUCAAGGUCAAUUGUACUUAAUUUGUGUACCGGGAAACAUACAAGUAUCUUCUGUUGCUUAAGAAGGGCAGAACUAAAUGGAAAAAAUAUAUAUUUCAACAAAAUAAGAAAAAUUUGGCCAUCUUCAUCGUGUUCAAAAGUUUUCACCCUCCAGCUCUUAAUGCAUCUUGUUUCCUUCUGGAGCAUCAGUGAAUGUUUGAAUCUUUUUAAAUAAUUGUGUUUGAGUCCCUCAAAUGUCCUCAGUCUGAAAAGAUGCAUCUCAAAAUCAUAAAGUCACUGCUGGAAAGGGUUCAAAUAUGCAAAGAUGCUGGAAAACUGAAGAAUCUGCAGGACCUUAAAGAUUUUUCUGAAGAACGCUGCUCAGUUUAACUGUUCAGAACAAACAAGGGACUCAUGCACAACCAUCACAAAACAGAAAGACAGUCGAGGAUCAUCAGGUAACAGAACACAAUAUUAAGAACCAAGGGUUCCCAAACUUUUGAGUGGGGUUAUUUGAAUAAUUUCAGCAUUUAUUUUGUCUUGUGGACUAAAUGUUAAUAUCUUUUAUGUACAAUAUCUUACUCAGGACAGUACUAAAUAAAAUGUAACAUGCA